UUAGCAAAAUCCUAUCAAAACAUAUUGCAUGGUUUGUCCGAAAAAACUGUGAAUGGUCGAAUCGUGAAAACCACAUGGUCAUCCAAAACAAGACUGAAUGCAGCCACAAUUUUGUCGAAAAUGUCCAGUUUCAAAAGCUGCAGUGAAGAUAUUGACUGGCAGGCAAAGCAGCUGCAGUGCGUUCUCUCCACUGCAGUGUGCAAAGUGUCAGGGAAAGCUGCUGAAGACCACUUUCGAGAUGAGCUCAAACAUUUGUUCUACGCUGCACUCCCAAAACCAACAUCAGCCAAUGAGCACUAUAAAGUCCUCCUUGUUCUCGCCAAGUUCAUGGAUAGUGAAAUUAAGAAGGGAAAUCUGCAUACCCCACUUUCAAGUGAGGAACAGUCUGUUUGGAACUCCAUUCUGGAGAAAUCAAAAAGUCUAGAAAAGAAGAUUAGUAAAUCAGACACUGAUGUCCUGGCGGACAUUGUUUGUUUGUCUCUGAGUUUGCAGCUGGCUUUCCUCUUAUUUUCUAAAAGUUCCCUUGCUGUUGAGGCCAUUCAGAAACUGAAUGACUAUUACGACUUACUGAAGGCAAAAUCAUUGGUGGGAAGUGACAUGCUAGAUGCAUUAGUAAGUCUCCUGUUGGACCUUCUGUCAUUAGAAAGUGUUCUAGUGAGGCAAAUGGUGAACAAAAUUUUGCAUCUAUAA
rnacentral:lncRNA from 1 species